GCAUAUCAAUAAGCGGAGGAAAAGAAACCAACAGGGGAUUGCCCCAGUAACGGCGAAGUGAAGCGGCAACAGCUCAAAUUUGAAAUCUGGCCCCCGGGUCCGAAGUUGUAAUUUGUAGAGGAUGCUUUUGGCGAGGUGCCUUCCGAGUUCCCUGGAACGGGACGCCAUAGAGGGUGAGAGCCCCGUCUGGUCGGACACCGAGCCUCUGUAAAGCUCCUUCGACGAGUCGAGUAGUUUGGGAAUGCUGCUCAAAAUGGGAGGUAUAUGUCUUCUAAAGCUAAAUAUUGGCCAGAGACCGAUAGCGCACAAGUAGAGUGAUCGAAAGAUGAAAAGCACUUUGAAAAGAGGGUUAAAAAGUACGUGAAAUUGUUGAAAGGGAAGCGCCUAUGACCAGACUUGGGCCCGGUGAAUCACCCAGCGUUCUCGCUGGUGCACUUCGCCGGGCACAGGCCAGCAUCAGUUUGGCGCGGGGGAGAAAGGCUUCGGGAAUGUGGCUCCCCCGGGAGUGUUAUAGCCCGUUGCGCAAUACCCUGCGCUGGACUGAGGUACGCGCAUUCGCAAGGAUGCUGGCGUAAUGGUCAUCAGCGACCCGUCUUGAAACACGGACCAAGGAGUCGUCUUCGUAUGCGAGUGUUCGGGUGUCAAACCCCUACGCGUAAUGAAAGUGAACGCAGGUGAGAGCUUCGGCGCAUCAUCGACCGAUCCUGAUGUUCUCGGAUGGAUUUGAGUAAGAGCAUACGGGGCCGGACCCGAAAGAAGGUGAACUAUGCCUGUAUAGGGUGAAGCCAGAGGAAACUCUGGUGGAGGCUCGCAGCGGUUCUGACGUGCGAAAUCGAUCGUCAAAUAUGGGCAUGGGGGGCGAAAGACUAAUCGAACCUUCUAGUAGCUGGUUUCCGCGA
rnacentral:rRNA from 1 species